AUUGAACGCUGGCGGCAUGCCUAACACAUGCAAGUCGAACGGAGGUAGGGGCAACUCUACUUCAGUGGCGGACGGGUGAGGAAUGCGUCGGAAUCUACCCUAUGGUGGGGGAUAACACAGGGAAACUUGUGCUAAUACCGCAUGAUGUCGAGAGACCAAAGCAGGGGACCGCAAGGCCUUGCGCGAUAGGAUGAGCCGACGCCCGAUUAGCUAGUUGGUAGGGUAAUGGCCUACCAAGGCGACGAUCGGUAGCUGGUCUGAGAGGAUGAUCAGCCACACUGGGACUGAGACACGGCCCAGACUCCUACGGGAGGCAGCAGUGGGGAAUAUUGGACAAUGGGCGAAAGCCUGAUCCAGCAAUGCCGCGUGUGUGAAGAAGGCCUGCGGGUUGUAAAGCACUUUUGUUCGGGAAGAAAACGGAUCGGUUAAUACCCGGUUCGGAUGACGGUACCGGAAGAAUAAGCACCGGCUAACUUCGUGCCAGCAGCCGCGGUAAAGUAG
rnacentral:rRNA from 1 species